rnacentral:rRNA from 1 species
UACGUAGGGUGCAAGCGUUGUCCGGAAUUAUUGGGCGUAAAGAGCUCGUAGGCGGUCUGUCGCGUCGGCUGUGAAAACCCGAGGCUCAACCUCGGGCCUGCAGUCGAUACGGGCAAACUAGAGUACUGCAGGGGAGACUGGAAUUCCUGGUGUAGCGGUGAAAUGCGCAGAUAUCAGGAGGAACACCAGCGGCGAAGGCGGCGCUCUGGGCCGGAACUGACGCUGAGGAGCGAAAGCGUGGGUAGCAAACAGG